rnacentral:lncRNA from 1 species
CUUCUCCAAAAGCGGACUCCAGUGUUAUGCCUCUGCUCGGAUCACUGUGAACUUCAACUGAACUGCCAACAUGUGAAAUUGGGGCUUGCCCCCUAUGAAUCAAUCUAAGGCAAACGUCUUCACUAGGAAGGUUCUCAAGUCAAUUCUGCUCAUGAACUCCCAGAGUCUGAAACAGUAUGCACUGGGCCAGCACAGGUCUGCACCAGGUCCCCUGCAUGUAUACUGUAGCUUUCAGAAGCAACCAGAAAUGCUCAUCAAAUAUCUGUGGGUACUCAGGAAAUGUGGGACUACGAGAAGAAAGGAAACAGGUGUGGUGUGCUCAACUGUGAUGCCAGCUACACUGGAGUUGAGGAAGGAAGAUUGUUAGUUCCAGACCAGCAUUGCCUACAACACAGGUUCUGGUACAGCCUGGGAAACUUAUCAGGACUGUAUCUCAAUAUAAAACUGAAUAAAAUAUGGUGAUGCGGCUCA